GACGAACGCUUGCGGCGUGCCUAAUACAUGCAAGUAGAACGCUGAAGAGAGGAGCUUGCUCUUCUUGGAUGAGUUGCGAACGGGUGAGUAACGCGUAGGUAACCUGCCUUGUAGCGGGGGAUAACUAUUGGAAACGAUAGCUAAUACCGCAUAACAAUGGAUGACACAUGUCAUUUAUUUGAAAGGGGCAAUUGCUCCACUACAAGAUGGACCUGCGUUGUAUUAGCUAGUAGGUGAGGUAAUGGCUCACCUAGGCGACGAUACAUAGCCGACCUGAGAGGGUGAUCGGCCACACUGGGACUGAGACACGGCCCAGACUCCUACGGGAGGCAGCAGUAGGGAAUCUUCGGCAAUGGGGGCAACCCUGACCGAGCAACGCCGCGUGAGUGAAGAAGGUUUUCGGAUCGUAAAGCUCUGUUGUAAGUCAAGAACGGGUGUGAGAGUGGAAAGUUCACACUGUGACGGUAGCUUACCAGAAAGGGACGGCUAACUACGUGCCAGCAGCCGCGGUAAUACGUAGGUCCCGAGCGUUGUCCGGAUUUAUUGGGCGUAAAGCGAGCGCAGGCGGUUUGAUAAGUCUGAAGUUAAAGGCUGUGGCUCAACCAUAGUUCGCUUUGGAAACUGUCAAACUUGAGUGCAGAAGGGGAGAGUGGAAUUCCAUGUGUAGCGGUGAAAUGCGUAGAUAUAUGGAGGAACACCGGUGGCGAAAGCGGCUCUCUGGUCUGUAACUGACGCUGAGGCUCGAAAGCGUGGGGAGCGAACAGGAUUAGAUACCCUGGUAGUCCACGCCGUAAACGAUGAGUGCUAGGUGUUGGAUCCUUUCCGGGAUUCAGUGCCGCAGCUAACGCAUUAAGCACUCCGCCUGGGGAGUACGACCGCAAGGUUGAAACUCAAAGGAAUUGACGGGGGCCCGCACAAGCGGUGGAGCAUGUGGUUUAAUUCGAAGCAACGCGAAGAACCUUACCAGGUCUUGACAUCCCGAUGCUAUUUCUAGAGAUAGAAAGUUACUUCGGUACAUCGGUGACAGGUGGUGCAUGGUUGUCGUCAGCUCGUGUCGUGAGAUGUUGGGUUAAGUCCCGCAACGAGCGCAACCCCUAUUGUUAGUUGCCAUCAUUCAGUUGGGCACUCUAGCGAGACUGCCGGUAAUAAACCGGAGGAAGGUGGGGAUGACGUCAAAUCAUCAUGCCCCUUAUGACCUGGGCUACACACGUGCUACAAUGGUUGGUACAACGAGUUGCGAGUCGGUGACGGCGAGCUAAUCUCUUAAAGCCAAUCUCAGUUCGGAUUGUAGGCUGCAACUCGCCUACAUGAAGUCGGAAUCGCUAGUAAUCGCGGAUCAGCACGCCGCGGUGAAUACGUUCCCGGGCCA
rnacentral:rRNA from 1 species